rnacentral:rRNA from 1 species
AUGUCGUCCUCCGCCAUCCCUAUCACCUCCGGCCUCAACUACAACACCUCCGAGCCACUCUCCUGGACGAACUAUGUCCUUUGGAGAGCUCAAGCGCGAUCCCAGAUAAUGGGCGCCGACUUGUUUGGCUAUAUAGAUCGAACCCUAGAGGAGCCUCCCAAAACCAUCACCACCAAAGACAAAGAUGGCAAGGACCAGGUGAUUCCAAACCCUGCCUAUGCCCCCUGGCUGAUCCAGGAUCAGCAGAUCGUUGCCUAUCUCCUUCGCAACCUGUCCAAAGAAGUUCUUGUCCAAGUUGCCUCCCUUGAAUCCUCACAUGCGAUCUGGGCUGCACUGGCGGCUAUGUUUUCUGCCGUCUCGCUAUCCCGUGUCAACAACAUCUGA